rnacentral:lncRNA from 1 species
UCAUUUUGUAGGUAUCUAAGACCACAAAAUGUAAUAAAUCAGAAUACUGUUUUUCUUUAUUUAGCAAGGGGACCAACUGAUAUUUUUGAAGAAAAAAAGAGGAAAAACUUCUUAAAUUUCAGGCAAUGAAUGCAGCAAGGAAUACAGAAGUUCUGAAUACAAUCGGUGCUGGGAUUCAGAAAAUAUUCUUGGCUUUUAAGCAGAUUUUUCAAUCCCUUGAGGAACAGAAGCAACUGCUGCUGGCCCAAUGGCACUCACUCCAGACAGCAGUCAAGGAACAGGAAGUUCAUAAUGCCACAAUUUCAGAGGAAAUUUUUUGCCUGGAUAGCCUUAUCACUAUGGCAGAAGAAAGAUGGCCAACACUAGAGCUUGAGUUUUUACAGGAGAUGCAGACUGCAUCCGUGAGGUUAAAGCAAAAGAAGUUUCAAGAGUUAGAUGAUCUUCUUCCUGAAAUGGAGAAACAGCUUGCUUAUCAAACAAGACAAAAUGAGGUUAUCACAAGUAGUUUGUGGAAAUUCGAAGAUGUUCUAACAUCUGUUAUGAAGAAGGAAGAUUCGAGCUCUCCUAUUGCAAAAAAGAGGAAAUCAGAAGACCAAGCAGCCGAUGAUGCUUUUGGUUAUAGCCCAGAAAGUGGAAUGCAUUCCUCACCAUCUCAGCAGCCUGAUCAAAAGGCACCAGUAGGAGAUAUUAAUAUGAAGAAACAUCAAAAACCAUCUCAGUGUCCAUUAUCCUAGGUGAAAUUAUGUACAAAUUAUUGUAGCGAUACUUCAGCAGAAGCAACACAUUCAUCGUACUAGCUUCUAUAAUAUAUAAAAAAUCCUUCCCAUGAUUGCCCGAUUUCUCCUUCCAAACAACUUUGAGAUAUUGGAACAAUUAACAUCUGCCUUACUUAGUGAUGAAAGUCCUAAUUAUGGUUGUAAGUCAAGGACUACUUAUAUUAGCCACAUUAGGCUGAUGCAGGCAUGUCCCUUCCCCUCCAUUCCUGAUGUGUCUUCCAGGUCAUUCUCCUCUGGGCAGUGGGAGAGUCCCAUUCUGUCCUCACCUAUUAGAUCUCUCAGCCAAUCCUCAGUUCAGAAACAAGGAUCAAUCUAAACAGCAUCAAGCAACACCGGGAUGAACAUUGCACAUUGCAGCUCUGUCUCUCUGAUGCAUUACAGGUAGUCCUCGACUUACGACCACAAUUGAUCCCAACAUUUCUGUUGCUAAGUGAGAUAUUGAGUGAAUUUUGACCCAUUUUACAACCUUUCUUGCCAUAGUUAAGUGAAUCGCUGCAGUUAUUAAGUUAGUAACAUGGUUGUUAAGAGAAUCUGGCUUCUCCAUUGACUUUGCAUGUCAGAAGGUUGCAAAAGGGGAUCACAUGAUCCUGGGACAUUGCAACCUCAUGAAUAUGAGUCAGUUGCCAAACAUGGAUUUUGAUAAUGUGACCAUGGGGAGGCUGCAAGGUUCAUAAGUAUGAAAAAUUAAGUCACUUUUUUCAGUGUUGUUGUAACUUUGAACAGUCGCUAAUUGAACAGUUGUAAGUCGGGGACCACCUGUAUUAUGCAACUCUCCCCAAACCUGACAAGUUUUAUCUAAGCUGCUUUUGAGUAUAGGUUUAGCACUACGUUGAAAUAGCACCAAAAUUGCGUAUAAGAACAGCUUUAGUUUGGUGCAUGUAUUUUGUGCAGUCACUUGGACUGAGUUUAGUGGUGUUUCAGGAUACUGCUAAUCCAGUAGUGCUCAACCCAUAUACCAAUGAAAGUUUGUUUUUAUAUUGUCAGUGAAAAAUCAUAACAGAUUUGACCAUUUCAGAAACAAAGGACUGAUAGAAACAAGGGCCCCUGUUCAAAAUGAGAAUCUGUUACAUAGAGCAGAAUAAGAAAGAAGCAUAAAAACGUAUUUUUUAUAUUGUUUCUUUAUAGAUUUCUUUUAAAGGCACUUCAGUCAAUACAAUUCUUUAAUUAUGGCUUACCA